UGGGAGACUAAAAUGGACGUGUCUUUUGUGAAUUCGGUCAGGUCUGAAAAGAAGCAGCCGCAGCAUUAUGUACAUGGGUUAUUUUGGUCUCCUUUCU
rnacentral:SRP_RNA from 1 species